AUUGAACGCUGGCGGCAUGCCUUACACAUGCAAGUCGAACGGUAACAGGUCUUCGGAUGCUGACGAGUGGCGAACGGGUGAGUAAUACAUCGGAACGUGCCUAGUAGUGGGGGAUAACUACUCGAAAGAGUGGCUAAUACCGCAUGAGAUCUACGGAUGAAAGCAGGGGAUCGCAAGACCUUGUGCUACUAGAGCGGCCGAUGGCAGGUUAGGUAGUUGGUGGGAUAAAAGCUUACCAAGCCGACGAUCUGUAGCUGGUCUGAGAGGACGAUUAGCCAAACUGAGACUGAGACACGGCCCAGACUCCUACGGGAGGGAGCAGUGGGGAAUUUCGGACAAUGGGCGCAAGCCUGAUCCAGCAAUGCCGCGUGCAGGAUGAAGGCCUUCGGGUUGUAAACUGCUUUUGUACGGAACGAAAAGCCCUGGGUUAAUACCCUGGGGUCAUGACGGUACCGUAAGAAUAAGCACCGGCUAACUACGUGCCAGCCGCCGCCGUAACAC
rnacentral:rRNA from 1 species